rnacentral:lncRNA from 1 species
UCCUAUUAUUAGCCAACUUGUUGCAGCUGCUACCUCUCUUUACCCUGCUAUAUAAGCAUACACUCACCAAGAUUUCAACUUCCACAGCAAAUCAAUAACAUAUUCUCAUCAGAAAGCAGCGAUGGAAACCAAGUCAUCGAAAUCCAGCGUCCUCCUAUAUGUUCUUGUUCUUGCGCUGGUCUUGUCUCCAAUACUCCCAUGUCAAGCAGCUAGUGCGCAUCUAGGAGGUAAGCUAGUUGAUCUCUCAAUUUUCCCAUCUUCUAUGUUACGCUGUGUUUAGGCUUUCUUAUGGAGAGAAAAUUAUUAUUUUUUAUUAUUUUUUUAAUUGAGAGAAAAUAAUAUUUUGAUGGAAAGGUGGAGGCCCUGGAGGGCGUAAGCUGAUGGCACCGUCACCACCAGUUCGCAUGUGUCCACAGUGUGUGUGUUGCGCACCGGCUCCCCCUGGAUAUUGCUGCCCAUGUCGCUGUCCUGGUGGUCCCUAAAGAUUGUGAACUUUGCUAUCAA